UGUUUGACUGUGUUUUGUUUUUUGAUUUGUUUUUGUUUUGUUUUGUUUUGUGCUUUGCUUUGCUUUCAAUGUUUUUGGUUUCACUAAAUGUUUUCAUUCAUGAGUAGCUUGUAGUUUGACAAGCUAAAAUUUCAUGAAAGGAACAAGCCCUGGAUUGCAGCAACGUGGGUGAGUAAAUUACAUAAUUUUCAUUUUUCUUUGAAUGUAGUCCCAUUUAUUUACAUUCAUGUACCGAUAAAAGUGAAUAUUACUGCAGAACUGUUAUCUGAACUUAUCUCUCUGACGGUCUAUGACAGGUGCCAAACAGGCUUUAUGAAUGUGUAGUGAGGUUAUGAAUGCAGCCUGAAGUCAUGAUGAAGGGAUUUAGAUGGGUUUACAGCUUUAAACUUAAUCCUAAAUUGGAGGGUUUCCUUCCAAACCCCCACAUGGCCCAAAUCUCUCAAUAAAACAUGAGCGAGGCAGCAGAGGAGCCUGGAUACAUAUUUAAACAGGUUAUUGAAUAUAGAGAGAAUGCGUCUUGUGUUUAAAUAUGUGUUUUAACAACUGUGUGUACAUGUGUGUGUUCAUUUAGCAGCCUCAUUGUCGAGGCACUUCCUGUGAUUUCUGUUUCCUGUGUUCUUUCGAGGCUUGCUUGAGUUUCAAACGCGGCCUGAUUCAAAUAUUCUUUUUCUUCUUCAAAAACCCAUAAAGUGCUGAUAAAUGGUUUAAAGAGAGACACUAAAAGCAUGAAACUCCAGAGAAGAGAAAGAACGGAGUGAGUGCGGUAUCAGCGCAGGCGUCGAUGGGGAAUGCAAACAAGUGGCCAUCUCACUCUCCACCAUCUGCGCUCUGAAGACAGCUUUUCAGCGGCCACAAGCAUUCUUCAAACGCUCUUUGGAGACUGGUUUGGAAAGAGAUCUUGGAUAGCGUUCUUCAGGAUGUUCCUCACUGCCGUUUGUCGGAUAAUAACCUCGGUACGGUGGCCACCAGCAUCCUCCUGCCCUCCGGACCACGCAGCCCUCUCUACAGCUGGAGGUGGUACCCGCAAACAUGCCUCUCUCUGACAGGCCUCUCACCAAGAUGAAUUCAUCGCCAGCACGGGUUGAAAUACUCUGGCCAAAACAAGUAAUUUGAUUGCCCCGACCGCAAAUUAAGUUAGUGUGAUUCAAUUUUCGAUUUGGAGCUAUCCAGCAGCCAUACAUCACAGCAGACAUAUUUCAUUACCCAGCUAAAGCAGGUUCGGGGCGGGGCCAGGGGUGCAGGUCUCCACAGGAAGACAUCAUAGCAUUGUUAUGGCACACAUUCAGUCCCUCACACUCCUUUCCUCCCAGCUACAAUGUGGCUAUUUAUAACACACAAACACAUAUGGCUGUCACCACACGCACUCUCGAGCGCAUCAGAUAUAUCUAGAUAAUUGUGAUUGUCUCUGUCCGUUCGGUGAGAGAUGAUGUAAACAGCAUUAUCGCCACUGUUUUGGAAAGGAAAUGUGUGUGUGUGCAUGUAAGAAAAACGGCACUCUGUCAUGGAGUGAUGCAAAACGACACUUCUCGCAGUUUAUGCCUCUGAGAAUUUUUGUCCGUUUCCCUGGUGACCGGCCAUCACACUGAUUGCGCUGACAUAAAUAAUAUUCUGAGUGCUGUUCGUAGUCUGAUGAGGGUUCUGUGAAAAAUGAAAUUUUUGUGUGCCUCCAUUUCUUUCCCGGUUGUUUUGUAUUUUUAUCAUUAACAGUGUUAUUU